UGGCCAUCCAUUGAUGCUGGCUCCUGACAGUGGGACCGUCUGUGCAAAGUCCAAAAAAACAAGUGCCCACAGAAAUUAUCUGUGGAAGGGUUGGUCCAGAGCUCCUUGAAAAGUGGCACCACUGGAGGAUUGCUUAUUGAUUUUGGUGACACAUUUAACAAAGGUGACAUGCGCAUGGAGCGCAGUUGUCAUGCUGCACUGUGCCAGCCCCCCGCUGACCAACUCCUGAGAGCCCCAGCAGGAAUUCCGAAUGAGCCAGACAAGAAUGGCCAAAAUGGGAUGUUUAGAAGCUGUCCCCGAUCUUGAAGGGCUACGUGGUCAGAUGAGGGAGUAGGGCAGAGCCUGUGCAAUUGUCCCAGCCAGUGCGAGUCGUACUACACAGUUCCCACCGUGGAAAUAGAGGAGCCCAGCGUGGGCUUAGAAAGAGGAAACAUGGGACCUGUCCCGAAGAGCACUCAGCCGUAUCCCACGCAGCAUGUGAGGCUAGCAGUGAGGAGAUGGAGCGCUGGAAGGCAUGGUCUGAGCUGCAUGGCCACACCUGAUGCGGGCCCCUUGCACACACCUGGACUGCUCAGCUGGGAGUUCCAAGAUAAUGGUGGAGCUUUGCCAUCAGCAGGAUGAGGGUUGGCUCAGCCAUGACUUCAGCUGUCUCUAUUGCCAUGCUCGUUGCUCUGAGUCUGCCCUCCAGCCCCACUGAGCUCGGGAAGUUCUCCGUUACGUUCCAGCCAACUCGAAGAAGAGAUACACAGUAUGGGCAAAAGGAGACCCUCGCAGCCACUCCGGCUCCUGGGCCAGUGGCUCCCAUAGAUUGUUAUGCCACGUCCUGCUCCGACAGCAUUUGCUGCUUUGAGCUUUAAUCUGAUUCUAGCACUAGCGACUACUUCGUGGUUUUCCAGCGGGCUGUGGGUUUGCCAGAUUUGUGCAAGCAUGCUGCUCCUCUUUUGGUCAGCUGGAGUGCUGGUUUUGGCCACAGCAACCAGCGUCUGUCAGGAGCUGGUAUCAGAACCUACAAUAAGCUGCGGAGAGCGAGAUGGAUCACAGUGGCUUCCUGGUGGGUGCAAAUCUGCACUGUUAUUUCUGUUGCACGCAGUACUGGGCUCUGUGUCACAUUUCUCAUCUUCAUGUGGAAUUUGUCUGGGCAGCUGCCGUUCCCGGAAGACAACUUCAAAUGAAUGACUGUUUUUCAUAUUACACAACAUGAUUCCAGAUACCCCAGUGCAGAUGCACUAGCCAGAUUCCAAGAAUCAAUCACCAAAUUGCACCAUCUCCUUCUGGAGCAAGCUACCAGUGGAGAAACUGAAAACAGCUUUUUUCUUUUUUUUUUUUUAGCUAUACUGAAACUUCACAGUCGAUUUUAAGCCUCUUAGACAGUAUAAUACUGAAUGCAAGUUCCUGCUGAGGGCUAUUGACUUCACUAUGUGCCAAGCUGCAGGGAACACCCCGUGCCAUGCCUGCAUGUGACAGAGUGCUUCCCUGCACCAGCAGUGUGACUCAGAUCAGAGACCAGCUUCCUGGGAUUUCCCAUCAGCAUCCUUUAAGAUUGCCAUCCGCAGAAGGGAUCUGUGCAGCCACAAGGUGAAAUGCACCAGGAAACAGCAUCAUCUUCAAAACACACAAAGGGAUUAGCACAGUCUGAAAACAGCAACAUGCUGCCCUCUGUUCAGGGGUGGAGAUGGGCUGCCUGCUGGGGCCCUGGGGAUGGAGAAGGCCAGCCUUCAGAUGUAGCUUUCCCAGGUCAGGUGUGCUUGUAAGUGCACACAGUGACAAAGUAAUUUUGCACAUUCUUGCAGUGUAAAUCCUAACCUGACUUCUCGCAGAGCUUCUGCUCUCAUGCUGCCACGGUGCUAGAGAAUGUCUGCAUGGUGGAAUGCAAGGACAUAUCUUAAAUAUUUGUAAUUAAUUAAGAGCAGUGGUGUUUUGGUGCUGUAGGACCCCACCAAGGCCACUGGUUAUUCACAGCCCCUGUAUGUUAGAGCAAGCAGGCAGCAUUCAGUGCUGCAACCAUGCUUUGGCAGCACUGGUGACUGAUGUCCUGUGCAUGCAGUGUCAGAGUAAGAUGCAAAAUUGCUGGUUAUGAGGUCCAUAUUGUCCCCAACCUGCCCUGAGCUUUUGUCCCUUCUUGCACCUACCUUCUUCCACUGCUGCUGCAGUAUGUCAGAGUCCCAUAAAAGCUCCUAAUAUAUGGAACUCAUGGGACACAUUGUAGGUCUUCUUAAAGCAUCCAGAUGGGUUCCCUAUUAGCCAAGCCCUUUCCUACAGCUCUCCCAACUACUAACACAAGGAGUACAAGUCAGAGAAUCCAAGAUGAUUUUUCCUUGGUACCAGGUAGAAGAGUUGCUCAGUGGGCAAUAUUGGACAGGCCACCAGAGCAGCUCCUGGAGGUGACCCACUCGGUGCUGUUCCUGUUGUCAGUUCAAGCAGUGCCUCUGCUUUGUCACACACUUCCAGUUCUGCUGCACACAGCUCUCUGAAGUGAUCGAGCAGUCACAAAUCCUCCAUCUUUUUAUCAUGCAGUGAUUCCCCAUCACCAUUAUUUUAAUAUAAAUUCCACUUCAAAAAAGAAGAGGCCAAUACUGAGCUGCAAUGGAUGCUCAGCUAGUAUUUCCCUUUCCUUUCUCUAUCAGAUCAUCCUGUUUAGUGGCAGAGCAUGGUAAUCAGCCAAAUACCAUGUUAGAAGCAUGGUUUUAACAAGGGUAGCUCUGCCCAGCCCACUUCCACAUGCUAAACAAGAACAUAGUGAGCGAAAGGGGCCCCAGCUCUAAUUUGGAAAUGCUCCCCUAUUUCUGGAGUUUGUUAACACAAUAUCAAAAUUAGGACUACAACAUUUUCCAUUCCUUUCUUUCAUUCUGAAUUAAAGACCGUCUACUGAAGACUCUCACUUCAAAAAACCAGCCAGGCACUUUCUAAUAUCAAGCAAAAUGCCUGAAGAAUAAAUUGCUCCUAUCAGAAAUAAAGCAUUUUAGUUCUGCCACAAGCAGAGA